GAUGAACGCUAGCUACAGGCUUAACACAUGCAAGUCGAGGGGAAACGACAUCGAAAGCUUGCUUUUGAUGGGCGUCGACCGGCGCACGGGUGAGUAACGCGUAUCCAACCUGCCCAUCACUUGGGGAUAACCUUGCGAAAGUAAGACUAAUACCCAAUGAUAUCUCUAGAAGACAUCUGAAAGAGAUUAAAGAUUUAUCGGUGAUGGAUGGGGAUGCGUCUGAUUAGCUUGUUGGCGGGGUAACGGCCCACCAAGGCAACGAUCAGUAGGGGUUCUGAGAGGAAGGUCCCCCACAUUGGAACUGAGACACGGUCCAAACUCCUACGGGAGGCAGCAGUGAGGAAUAUUGGUCAAUGGGCGAGAGCCUGAACCAGCCAAGUAGCGUGCAGGAUGACGGCCCUAUGGGUUGUAAACUGCUUUUAUAAGGGAAUAAAGUGAGUCUCGUGAGACUUUUUGCAUGUACCUUAUGAAUAAGGACCGGCUAAUUCCGUGCCAGCAGCCGCGGUAAUACGGAAGGUCCGGGCGUUAUCCGGAUUUAUUGGGUUUAAAGGGAGCGUAGGCCGGAGAUUAAGCGUGUUGUGAAAUGUAGACGCUCAACGUCUGCACUGCAGCGCGAACUGGUUUCCUUGAGUACGCACAAAGUGGGCGGAAUUCGUGGUGUAGCGGUGAAAUGCUUAGAUAUCACGAAGAACUCCGAUUGCGAAGGCAGCUCACUGGAGCGCAACUGACGCUGAAGCUCGAAAGUGCGGGUAUCGAACAGGAUUAGAUACCCUGGUAGUCCGCACGGUAAACGAUGGAUGCCCGCUGUUGGUCUGAAUAGGUCAGCGGCCAAGCGAAAGCAUUAAGCAUCCCACCUGGGGAGUACGCCGGCAACGGUGAAACUCAAAGGAAUUGACGGAAG
rnacentral:rRNA from 1 species